rnacentral:misc_RNA from 1 species
CACCCGCGUCGGCAGCGCGCCCCGCCGGAGGG